UACGUAGGGUGCGAGCGUUAAUCGGAAUUACUGGGCGUAAAGCGUGCGCAGGCGGUUCUGAAAGUCAGCUGUGAAAGCCCCGGGCUUAACCUGGGAAUUGCGGUUGAAACUACAGGGCUAGAAUCUGGCAGAGGGGGGUGGAAUUCCACGUGUAGCAGUGAAAUGCGUAGAGAUGUGGAGGAACACCGAUGGCGAAGGCAGCCCCCUGGGCUGAGAUUGACGCUCAGGUACGAAAGCGUGGGGAGCAAACAGG
rnacentral:rRNA from 1 species